rnacentral:rRNA from 1 species
GAUGAACGCUGGCGGCGUGCUUAACACAUGCAAGUCGAACGGUGAAGCCAAGCUUGCUUGGUGGAUCAGUGGCGAACGGGUGAGUAACACGUGAGCAACCUGCCCUGGACUCUGGGAUAAGCGCUGGAAACGGCGUCUAAUACUGGAUAUGAGCUCUCAUCGCAUGGUGGGGGUUGGAAAGAUUUUUCGGUCUGGGAUGGGCUCGCGGCCUAUCAGCUUGUUGGUGAGGUAAUGGCUCACCAAGGCGUCGACGGGUAGCCGGCCUGAGAGGGUGACCGGCCACACUGGGACUGAGACACGGCCCAGACUCCUACGGGAGGCAGCAGUGGGGAAUAUUGCACAAUGGGCGGAAGCCUGAUGCAGCAACGCCGCGUGAGGGAUGACGGCCUUCGGGUUGUAAACCUCUUUUAGCAGGGAAGAAGCGAGAGUGACGGUACCUGCAGAAAAAGCGCCGGCUAACUACGUGCCAGCAGCCGCGGUAAUACGUAGGGCGCAAGCGUUAUCCGGAAUUAUUGGGCGUAAAGAGCUCGUAGGCGGUUUGUCGCGUCUGCUGUGAAAUCCCGAGGCUCAACCUCGGGCCUGCAGUGGGUACGGGCAGACUAGAGUGCGGUAGGGGAGAUUGGAAUUCCUGGUGUAGCGGUGGAAUGCGCAGAUAUCAGGAGGAACACCGAUGGCGAAGGCAGAUCUCUGGGCCGUAACUGACGCUGAGGAGCGAAAGGGUGGGGAGCAAACAGGCUUAGAUACCCUGGUAGUCCACCCCGUAAACGUUGGGAACCAGUUGUGGGGACCAUUCCACGGUUUCCGUGACGCAGCUAACGCAUUAAGUUCCCCGCCUGGGGAGUACGGCCGCAAGGCUAAAACUCAAAGGAAUUGACGGGGACCCGCACAAGCGGCGGAGCAUGCGGAUUAAUUCGAUGCAACGCGAAGAACCUUACCAAGGCUUGACAUACACCAGAACACCGUAGAAAUACGGGACUCUUUGAACACUGGUGAACAGGUGGUGCAUGGUUGUCGUCAGCUCGUGUCGUGAGAUGUUGGGUUAAGUCCCGCAACGAGCGCAACCCUCGUUCUAUGUUGCCAGCACGUAAUGGUGGGAACUCAUGGGAUACUGCCGGGGUCAACUCGGAGGAAGGUGGGGAUGACGUCAAAUCAUCAUGCCCCUUAUGUCUUGGGCUUCACGCAUGCUACAAUGGCCGGUACAAAGGGCUGCAAUACCGUGAGGUGGAGCGAAUCCCAAAAAGCCGGUCCCAGUUCGGAUUGAGGUCUGCAACUCGACCUCAUGAAGUCGGAGUCGCUAGUAAUCGCAGAUCAGCAACGCUGCGGUGAAUACGUUCCCGGGUC